CCUACGGGGAGCAGCAGUGAGGAAUAUUGGUCAAUGGACGAGAGUCUGAACCAGCCAAGUAGCGUGAAGGAUGACUGCCCUAUGGGUUGUAAACUUCUUUUAUAUGGGAAUAAAACGUUCCACGUGUGGGAUUUUGUAUGUACCAUAUGAAUAAGGAUCGGCUAAAUCCGGGCCAGCAGCCGCGGUAAUACGGAGGAUCCGAGCGUUAUCCGGAUUUAUUGGGUUUAAAGGGAGCGUAGGUGGAUUGUUAAGUAAGUUGUGAAAGUUUGCGGCUCAACCGUAAAAUUGCAGUUGAAACUGGCAGUCUUGAGUACAGUAGAGGUGGGCGGAAUUCGUGGUGUAGCGGUGAAAUGCUUAGAUAUCACGAAGAACUCCGAUUGCGAAGGCAGUUCACUGGACUGCAACUGACACUGAGGCUCGAAAGUGUGGGUAUCAAACAGGAUUAGAUACCCUUGUAGUC
rnacentral:rRNA from 1 species